CCAGAGAACUUUCCAGAGAUGGAUUGGUGCCUUCGGGGAACUCUGAGACAGGUGCUGCAUGGCUGUCGUCAGCUCGUGUUGUGAAAUGUUGGGUUAAGUCCCGCAACGAGCGCAACCCUUAUCCUUUGUUGCCAGCGGUUAGGCCGGGAACUCAAAGGAGACUGCCAGUGAUAAACUGGAGGAAGGUGGGGAUGACGUCAAGUCAUCAUGGCCCUUACGAGUAGGGCUACACACGUGCUACAAUGGCGCAUACAAAGAGAAGCGACCUCGCGAGAGCAAGCGGACCUCAUAAAGUGCGUCGUAGUCCGGAUUGGAGUCUGCAACUCGACUCCAUGAAGUCGGAAUCGCUAGUAAUCGUAGAUCAGAAUGCUACGGUGAAUACGUUCCCGGGCCUUGUACACACCGCCCGUCACACCAUGGGAGUGGGUUGCAAAAGAAGUAGGUAGCUUAACCUUCGGGAGGGCGCUUACCACUUUGUGAUUCAUGACUGGGGUGAAGUCGUAACAAGGUAAGCGUAGUGCU
rnacentral:rRNA from 1 species